rnacentral:misc_RNA from 1 species
UUUCCGUAGGUGAACCUGCGGAAGGAUCAUUAUUGGAUUGUGGGCCUCGGCCCCAUUACAAAAAACCCUUCAUAACCUCUUGUGAACAUGUCGGCCCUCGGGCCUUCAACUCCAAACUUUUGUGUGUCGUAUGAACGUAACAACUAUUAAAAAUAACACAACUUUCAACAACGGAUCUCUUGGCUCUCGCAUCGAUGAAGAACGCAGC